UACAGAGGUCUCAAGCGUUGCUCGGAAUCACUGGGCGUAAAGGGUGCGUAGGCGGGUCUUUAAGUCAGGGGUGAAAUCCUGGAGCUCAACUCCAGAACUGCCUUUGAUACUGAAGAUCUUGAGUUCGGGAGAGGUGAGUGGAACUGCGAGUGUAGAGGUGAAAUUCGUAGAUAUUCGGAAGAACACCAGUGGCGAAGGCGGCUCACUGGCCCGGUACUGACGCUGAGGUGCGAAAGCGUGGGGAGCAAACAGG
rnacentral:rRNA from 1 species